rnacentral:misc_RNA from 1 species
AACGCACAUUGCGCCCAUUAGUAUUCUAGUGGGCAUGCCUGUUCGAGCGUCAUUUCAACCCUUAAGCCCCUGUUGCUUAGCGUUGGGAGCCUACAGCACUGUAGCUCCCCAAAGUUAGUGGCGGAGUCGGCUCACACUCUAGACGUAGUAAAUCUUUCACCUCGUCUGUAGUUGGACCGGUCCCCUGCCGUAAAACACCCAAACUUUUAAAAGGUUGACCUCGGAUCAGGUAGGAAUACCCGCUGAACUUAA